rnacentral:rRNA from 1 species
CACGUAGGGCGCAAGCGUUGUCCGGAAUUAUUGGGCGUAAAGAGCUCGUAGGCGGCCUGUCGCGUCUGCUGUGAAAUCCCGGGGCUCAACCCCGGGCCUGCAGUGGAUACGGGCUGGCUGGAGGCAGGCAGGGGAGAACGGAAUUCCUGGUGUAGCGGUGAAAUGCGCAGAUAUCAGGAGGAACACCGGUGGCGAAGGCGGUUCUCUGGGCCUGUUCUGACGCUGAGGAGCGAAAGCGUGGGGAGCGAACAGG